rnacentral:rRNA from 1 species
ACGCUGGCGGCGUGUCUAAUACAUGCAAGUAGAACGCUGAAGGAGGAGCUUGCUUCUCCGGAUGAGUUGCGAACGGGUGAGUAACGCGUAGGUAACCUGCCUGGUAGCGGGGGAUAACUAUUGGAAACGAUAGCUAAUACCGCAUAACAGUAGAUGUUGCAUGACAUUUGCUUAAAAGGUGCAAUUGCAUCACUACCAGAUGGACCUGCGUUGUAUUAGCUAGUUGGUGGGGUAACGGCUCACCAAGGCGACGAUACAUAGCCGACCUGAGAGGGUGAUCGGCCACACUGGGACUGAGACACGGCCCAGACUCCCACGGGAGGCAGCAGUAGGGAAUCUUCGGCAAUGGACGGAAGUCUGACCGAGCAACGCCGCGUGAGUGAAGAAGGUUUUCGGAUCGUAAAGCUCUGUUGUAAGAGAAGAACGAGUGUGAGAGUGGAAAGUUCACACUGUGACGGUAUCUUACCAGAAAGGGACGGCUAACUACGUGCCAGCAGCCGCGGUAAUACGUAGGUCCCGAGCGUUGUCCGGAUUUAUUGGGCGUAAAGCGAGCGCAGGCGGUUAGAUAAGUCUGAAGUUAAAGGCUGUGGCUUAACCAUAGUACGCUUUGGAAACUGUUUAACUUGAGUGCAAGAGGGGAGAGUGGAAUUCCAUGUGUAGCGGUGAAAUGCGUAGAUAUAUGGAGGAACACCGGUGGCGAAAGCGGCUCUCUGGCUUGUAACUGACGCUGAGGCUCGAAAGCGUGGGGAGCAAACAGGAUUAGAUACCCUGGUAGUCCACGCCGUAAACGAUGAGUGCUAGGUGUUAGACCCUUUCCGGGGUUUAGUGCCGCAGCUAACGCAUUAAGCACUCCGCCUGGGGAGUACGACCGCAAGGUUGAAACUCAAAGGAAUUGACGGGG